AUUGAACGCUGGCGGCAGGCCUAACACAUGCGAGUCGAGCGGAUGAGCGGAGCUUGCUCCUUGAUUUAGCGGCGGACGGGUGAGUAAUGCCUAGGAAUCUGCCUGGUAGUGGGGGAUAACGUUCCGAAAGGAACGCUAAUACCGCAUACGUCCUACGGGAGAAAGCAGGGGACCUUCGGGCCUUGCGCUAUCAGAUGAGCCUAGGUCGGAUUAGCUAGUUGGUGAGGUAAUGGCUCACCAAGGCGACGAUCCGUAACUGGUCUGAGAGGAUGAUCAGUCACACUGGAACUGAGACACGGUCCAGACUCCUACGGGAGGCAGCAGUGGGGAAUAUUGGACAAUGGGCGAAAGCCUGAUCCAGCCAUGCCGCGUGUGUGAAGAAGGUCUUCGGAUUGUAAAGCACUUUAAGUUGGGAGGAAGGGCAGUAAGCUAAUACCUUGCUGUUUUGACGUUACCGACAGAAUAAGCACCGGCUAACUUCGUG
rnacentral:rRNA from 1 species